CUUGUUUUAAUAAUCCUAUAACAGGGACAUAUUAGCAAGAUCAAAAAAUCGAGCAUGGUGUACACUUGCUUUAACCUAAAUGGUUUACAACUAAAUAACGCAAAUGGUUGUAAAUAAAUUAAGAUCUUAAAAUACAUUUGCACUGCGUGGGUCUGACAGGAGCUGGAGCCCUGAAAGGGGUCAUGAAACACCCUGUUACUAAUUUUGGGAGUAUUUCAUUGUUAGUCCUGAGUCCCCAGUAAUACCAAGAGAGAAAUACCAUCUCUAAUUAUAUCAUUUGCGAGAGUGCCACUUUAAUGCAGCAUAUUUGGUGUUAAUUAUACGGCGCACAUUAUUG